UUGGAACCACCUGAUCCCAUCCCGAACUCAGAAGUGAAACGAUGCAUCGCCGAUGGUAGUGUGGGGUUUCCCCAUGUGAGAGUAGGUCAUCGUCAAGA
rnacentral:rRNA from 1 species